GGACAUGUAAAUCGGAAACCCCUCUAUCUCUAGAUAGAGGCUGGAUAGGGGGUUCGACUCCCUCCAUGUCCGCCA
rnacentral:tRNA from 1 species